CACACCCUGCCCUGAUCACUUCAUCCAUAUUUUACCAGUCAGCAGCAAUCAUCCCAAGAACUAUACACACACACCCAAAUCUCCAAGGAGCCAGCAACAAGCACAAAAACAGAGAUAAGCAAACAAAGCCAUUGAGCAAAAAGCAGCUGGCUCACACGGGGCCGAGCCAGCUCAACCGUCAUCAGUAGGUCUCUGGUGCGCUGCUCUGAGAAGCGUCUGGAGGAGGCCGUGCAUAGCACAGGUACCAAGUCAUGCCAGUGCUGUGUUUUGUAACUCGAAGGAAAGUGCAUCCACACAGCUCCCCAUCGCAUGUGAGCUCACCAAGCCAAGUGGACUCAGCUGAAAUCACCACCUUUCGAGAAGCUCGAUGCUCUCCCUGCCUCUGGAACAACAAAAAGCAAAGGGACAGCAUUCACCUGCUCACAUCACUGCGAAGCCCUGGCCUCAGGGGUCUGCCAACCAGCAGGGCACAAUAUGGAUGGACAUUCAAGCUUGGGCCCCGGUCCAGGUGUGCAUGCUGCUACUGGGCGUGUCAAACACCAACUGUGUGUCCCCUGCCCCUCUGCAGGCUGUAGGGACACACGUGAAAAUGCGAGCCUGUGGUGAAGUUUUCCAGACGUGAAAUCACAACAGAUGAAUGCAAAAGUCAAUACGAGCAUCCAGCUGUCUUCUAACUAAACGUUAGCCAAACAUUAAAGAGAUCUGCAGAUGUACAAAUCAAUGUCACUCAUUUUUUU